AACUUUUAACAAUGGAUCACUUGGCUCUCGCAUCGAUGAAGAACGCAGCGAAAUGCGAUAAGUAUUGUGAAUUGCAGAUUUUCAGUGAAUCAUCGAAUCUUUGACCGCACCUUGCGCUCCUUGGUAUUCCGAGGAGCAUGCCUGUUUGAGUGUCAUUAAAUUUUCAACUUCAUCAGUUUUUUAAACUGUGUGGAGCUUGGAUUAUGGGGGUUUGUGCAGAAAGCUUUCACAGUCUUACUGCUCCCCUUAAAUGAAUUAGCAAGUUUUUAAACUGGCCUUUGUCUAUUGGUGUGAUAAUUAUCUACGCCUUGGGCUUAGGUUUCGGCUUGCUUCUAAUCGUCCAUUAGGACAAUUUCUUGACAAUUUGACCUCAAAUCAGGUAGGACUACCCGCUGAACUUAAGCAUAUCAAUAAGCGGAGGCU
rnacentral:misc_RNA from 1 species